CUAAGUUUGAUGGCGACCGGCGCACGGGUGAGUAACACGUAUCCAACCUGCCGAUGACUCGGGGAUAGCCUUUCGAAAGAAAGAUUAAUACCCGAUGGCAUAGUUCUUCCGCAUGGUAGAACUAUUAAAGAAUUUCGGUCAUCGAUGGGGAUGCGUUCCAUUAGGUUGUUGGCGGGGUAACGGCCCACCAAGCCUUCGAUGGAUAGGGGUUCUGAGAGGAAGGUCCCCCACAUUGGAACUGAGACACGGUCCAAACUCCUACGGGAAGCAGCCAUG
rnacentral:rRNA from 1 species